AUAUAGAAAAUCAUUGAAAAUGUCUUUUGGGUUUUUAAACCAUUUGGUCAAUUAUUUUUCUCAACUAUCUACAUCUUUUUUUGCAUAGCAAAAAAUAUAAGAAAAAGUUUCAAUAUUAUUUUGCAAUUCAGAUGAACAAAUGGUGACUGAAGAAUAGUUAUAGGAAAAUCUUGUUGUGCAGCAUGGAUACUGUUAGGGAUAGCAAUCGAG
rnacentral:lncRNA from 1 species